GUCAUGCAAGCUGUCACGGUCUGACAGGAACUUGUCACGUGAAAUGGAGAGCUCUAAGGUUGACCCAAACAGUGUCAAUGUGGCGCUCAUCAGUGCCCACAACGCCAUAGUGCUCUUGGCAGGGCCUGCAUUUUGGUAAGGUGCCGAAAAACUAAUACAAAUAAUGCUGAACCUUCGCUCCUGAGGGACGGUGCCAUCUUGAAAGCUUGCCUUUUGCAAUGUUUGUUGGCGUCUCCCAACUAACUAGCUCCUUAUCCUUCUUUUGGUGCCUAGUUAUUUGUUUGUUUAUUAUUUCAAUCAACAUUUUUGGGUGGGUGGUUUCAGUGCAGAGCAAAAUCAGACCAGGGGCAACAGAUUGAAACCAAAUCCAUAUAUAAAAUUUUUAUCCUGCCGUCCCUCCACAAGGAGCCUAGGGCAGCAAAAUACAAGAUAGAUCAUCUUGUUAUUUACGAUAUAAAAAUAAAAUAUAAGUCACAGAGCCAGGCACUAAUACCCUGUAAAUGCCUGAACAAACAAGCAAAAGUGUUCAGCUGGCAUACGAAUCUGAGAAAAGAGACUCUGUUGUUAUAUAUUUGGUGCCCAUUGAAGGCUUUCCUUUCAACAAAACUUCUAAGUGAAGAUUUUUAUCCCAGUCAGUAUUUGACUGAAAUCUGUUUCAGUAUAUGUAAUUAAUUAUUUUACAUAUGCUUUUAGUGUAUUGUGAAAUCUCUCCCUCUUGGGCGUGAUGCACAAUUGGAAUUAAUUAGGUAAUAAUAAUAAUAAUUCAUUGCUGUGGGGGGUGGACAGGGAGCGAAAUGCUUGUGAGGUUAUUGCCUCAGAUGCUGAAACAGGAGCAGCUCCAUUUAUAGUCUACCUAAGGCAGCAAAAUGUGUUGGCUAUUUCUUUAUGCAGUGAGUGGUACUGGCUGUCCGGUCAUUGGUGGUGGGAAGGAAGGGCUUGGGGCUGCCAUACAUCCUCUUUACACUGCGUUGUGUGAGUCAGCGUGGAGUCAUCCUUAAAGGGUUAGACCAGGACCUCAGUGACCUGGGUUCAAAUCCCCACUCAGCCACAUAGCUCACCAGGGGUGGGCCAACCAAGUAUCUUUCAGCCUGAUCUAUCUUACGGAGUUGUUGUGAAAAUUAAAUAUAUGUUUGUGCGUGGGGAAUGGAACAGACCCACGGCUGUUGUUGUGACGCCUUGAAGGAAAGUUGGGAUAUAAAAGGAGUACAUAUGUGCGUCUCAAAUCUUGUUGUUGUUUAGUCGUUUAGUCGUGUCCGACUCUUCAUGACCCCAUGGACCAGAGCAUGCCAGGCACUUCUGUCUUCCACUGCCUCCCGCAGUUUGGUCAAACUCAUGCUGGUAGCUUCGAGAACACUGUCCAACCAUCUCGUCCUCUGUCUUCCCCUUCUCCUUGUGCCCUCAAUCUUUCCCAACAUCAGGGUCUUUUCCAGGGAGUCUUCUCUUCUCAUGAGGUGGCCAUGAAGAGCCUCAGCUUCACGAUCUGUCCUUCCAGUGGGCACUCAGGGCUGAUUUCCUUAAGAAUGGAUAGUUUUGAUCUUCUUGCAGUCCAUGGGACUCUCAAGAGUCUCCUCCAGCACCAUAAUUCAAAAGCCUCAAAUCUUACUUGUGUUCAUAUGAGGCCUUAAUUCAAAAUUCAUGCAGGGCUAUAUAUGAGGAUGCUCUUAGUAUGAGGGUAUGGAGACAAGUUAUAAAGGAAGGCACUGCUGGGAAACUCUUAACAAUUUUAUUCAAACCAAGAAAAAUGAGGUGUUUAUUUUAGGCUUCCAAUACUAUUAAAAAUCUGCACUUCGCAAGCUGCCUCUCUAAGUAAAAGACCGCUUAGCAACUGAGCAUGAUGAAUCUAUUUUGACAGGUGAUUGCCCAGGCAAAUAAUACAUCAUCUUAUUUCAGAAAGCGAGAAAGGAAUCCUUCUGUUGGCAUCCGCCUAGCCUUCCCCCAGUUUUAAAGCACUUCUAUUUCCCCUGGGUAUUGCUAGUUACUUAUGAGAACCUUUUGUCCUCUGGCUUUCAUUAUUCAUAAGGACCAGUCCCAUAAAAGAUUGAAGAUACCUAGCAACAACCAAGAUUAAUUCAUACCAUUUCAUGAAAUUCAUUUGAACAGGCAGUUGGGGCAUGGAACCUUGAACACAUGCUAAUUAUAUGGAGGGCAGGAAAACUGUCCAAAAAUAUGCAAAAUGCAGAUGAAAUUUUAAAAAGGUGUUUCAUAUUUCUAAUAUAUAUAUAUUUAAUGGUCUAGUUUCAUGCAGAACCAGAGGGGGUUGGAAUCUUCUUUAACAAUUAAAACAUGGUCACUGAAAGGGAUUGGGAGUUUCUACCCAGUAUUUUUUUCAAUGAUUCCAGUAUUUUUUCAAUGAUUUACAGAUUCGUGGUCCAACCCAGCAGUGAUUUGAUGCACCUAUCUCCCAUUGAAGUCAAUGGAGCAAAUAGUACAGUUAAAUAAUAAACAAAUCUUCAACAUUUUCAUAAAAUAACCAUUCUCAAGUCCUUUGUUUGGAUUUGGGUUUUAAAUUCAUAAUUAGUAAUCAAAUUAUUCCCACUAGAAUCUUAGGCCUAGGCCAAUACCAGUAUUUGCCUGCAUGCUUUUUUUGAAAGAAUUGUUUCUCAGAUAGAAAUGGCCCGAUUUUAGACAGGGAAAUGUUUUCUCAAAUAUCAAUUAAUUAUUGGCAGUCCUCUCCAGAACUGAAAUCAAAACUAGCAGUGUAUGUUGGGAAUACAUUGCCUAAAGAGCAAGUCUUCUAAAAAAGGUCAGCUAUCACUUGUUCCAUCUUGUGUCCUGUGAAGCUAUUCUAUGCAUUUGUGGCACAUGUGAAUCAGGCAAAGGUUUAGACUUUUGUGCUGUAGCUCUGCAGGUGUUAACACUGAUAUUUCUCUCUCCAUCCUUUGUCUCGGUGUUUCAAAUAACACUUUUUCAUUUGUAGCAAAUUAACGCCAAAUAAAUUUGCUUACUUCCACUAAGGAUCAUUUGGCAAUCUAAGCACUUGGGUUACAUAAAGUCAAUUUAGCAAUUAGUUACGGAAUAGUGCAAUAUUGUAAAUAAUGCAUCCAUUGCUGUUCAGCAAUAUUUAAAAAGGUUUGGGAACCACCGAACAUCAAGAAGCACCAGUGAUAGGGGUUUCCCCCCUCUUGGUAAUGUUUUAAAUAUGUUUGUUUUUUAUUAUUUAUUUUGUUAUCAUAAAUCAUUUUCAGGCGUUUUGUUUGCAAGUAGCAUGCAUUCAAUAAACCUAGGGUUGCCAUAUUCAGAAAAGUGAAAAUCCGGACACCAAAGUUCAUGAGCUUUUUUUUGGGGGGGGGGGUGCAAAGUUGUUGAGCUUUUUGACAUGAUUUGCGAGGGCCGAAUCCUGCAUAUGUCUGGGAAACCCUAGAAACAUGUGGCAGCCCCAUAUAAACCUAACUUGACCAACAAGCUGUGGGAGCUAUAGUUUGUGGGCAAAUAACACAUUUUGCAUGCAAAAUGUCCCCGAUUCAAUUCCUAGUAUCUCCAACUGAAAGGAACUGGUAAGAAGUGAUGGGGAAGACCUCUGCCUGAUACCCUCGAGAACCACUGCCAAGUCAGGCUGAAUAAUAUCAGGCAAAAUAAAGAAAGAGUUGACCUAUGAUUACAUUUCCAGAAAGGUAGCCAUGUUAGUUUGUUAGUUUGAAAUCUCAUGCUGUAUUAAAUUUCUUUUUUUUUUUUAAUAAUAUUUAUUAAUAAUUUCAAAAUUACAAAAAAAGAAAAAAUAAAGAAUAAAGAACAACACUACAAUACAAAAAAAGAAAAAAACGCAGAACAUAAAAACCAAUACAACAAUACAGCAAACGAAAAAUAAAAAGAAGGAAAAAAAGACACAAAUCCCAAAUUGCAUAUCUAUAAUUUCCAUUUGCUUGUUUCAUUGACCUCCUCACACCUCCCUUUUUGUAUUCUAGUUUAAUUAGUUAUUUCAGCAAAUUCUUUCCAUCUUUCUCAAUUUUUGUUCAAAAAUAUAUCUUAACAAUUUAACCUAAUAAUUAACUCAACAAAUCCUUUCCAUCUUUCCCCAUAUUCUGUUAUUCAAAUUACCUUAAUUUAUUUAACCUUAUCUUACCCCAAAAUACCUUAAAGCUUAAAUCUUAGUUUUCAAAUAUACAUAGCUCCUGAUAUCAUUUCUGCUAGAGUCAUAUAGUUUUAUUCCAACAUUUCCCCUAAUAUUCAUUAAGCAAAUUCUAAAUAAAAAGUUUCCUUUAUAAAUUUUCUUCCAAUCAUCAUCCAGCGUCUCUUCUUCCUGGUCUCGGAUCGUGUCAGUCCUUACUGUCCAUUCCAUCUAGUCCAUCAACCUGGAAGCCUUAUGUCCGAGGCCCUUAAGUCUCUUCCAUGUCCCUUCUGCAGUUCUUCUUCUUCUUGUUUAUACUUGCCCUUUUCCUUGUCUUUUGUUGGUCUCUUUCUUAAUUUCUUUCCUUUCUCAUUGAGAAGUAGGUCUCUGGGGGAUUCCAACCCAAAAUUGUCUCCAUCUCCCUUCAUCCAGCCCACCCAUUCCCCACAGUCCCACUCCCCACAGUCCUCGAUAUAAUCCAAAAAGUAUUUAAAAUCAUAUUUCAAGGUCUCUCCAAAAUUAGGAACCUCCUCAUCUCCAAACUCCCCCUGGCCCACUCCAACUUCAAUCUUCAAUGACAGUGGCUUAUGCUCCUGUAGGGCCUCGGGUCUCUCCAUUUGUAUUAUUUGAGGUGCAACCGCAUCUUCCUCCAUUGUCAUGUGCACUUGCCCAGUCAGUACAGAAUCAUAGGUUGGUCCCUGGAUGAUUUCUGUAUCAGUGUUCCCUGUUUGUCCACAGUUAUUAACCACGACAGUCAAAUCCAUUUUCUCAUUCAUCAAGUCCAUCUUCUCGUGCAUCUGUUCCAGCAAGGCAUUUGUCUUGCAUAAAGCAAGCACCCAAUCUUCCUCCCAGCUCAUCUUUGGUCAAGGUCAGAAAAGACUGUUCCCACGAUCUUAAUCUCACAGAUGUUGGGUCCUCAAGUAUACUGCAGCAACAAUUUAACAAGCUCCUCUAGAGGAGACUUUCUAUUUGUAUCCAUUUUUUUUUAAAGGCAAAGGAAAGUUACUUUCAUUUUCCAGAUAUUUCAGAUGUUUUUCAGAUAUUUUGUUUCUUUAAAAUGCAAAAGGCAACAUUAGAAUCAACUUGUCUCUCUUCAUUAGCUAUCUGUCAAAAUAUUCCAUUCACAGUCAAUGAACCUCUCCAACAGUUUCUGUCUCUGACACCCCGUUCCCAGGUUAGAGACGGUGGAAACUUAUCCUUCUUCACUCCCUCUCCUGCUAGGGUUAAACAGAGUCCCCCCUUUUCUCCUGCUUCCAAGGGGGGUUUCAGUGAUUCUAAAUGAAGGAAAUUUAGGCUUUUUGACAGCUUUCCCGGCUUUAGCUUACAAAAUUUUUGCUUUAGUCUAUAUACAAAAAGCGGAAGGCGGACUUCCUGUUUUGCACCUUCCCGCUUCGAUACCAAAUUAAGCAAUUUCUUGAUCCAAUUUUCCGUUUCUACUCACGGGUACUUGUUUUAAAUCCAAUUGUCCACAGGAAAAGUCAGCGCUCUCUGGCAAUGGCUGUGCGGCUUCACUCCGUGAAAGUAGCAGUCAGUUCGCAGCACCGCGCUUCUCACCCCACUUCGCUCCGGAGCCCCUAAAUGGGAUUCCCCGCGAGUAGGGGAGCGCUUCUGGUGCCCUGCCGAACCCCACGUUCCCAGGCUUCCUCUGCCUGGGAUUUCUAACGGGUCCCCACCUUCGCCGCGGCGGGAAGACCCAGUUUCCACGGAGCCCGUUCCUCCGGUCGGAGGAACUCCGCCAUUCACCAAUGGCGCUGACCCGGAAGUUCUAAAUUUCUAAGUCUUUAAUGUACCACAAGACACUUGGGUCUGGAAACCAAGCCUCGUGAGGAACAGUUGAAGGAACUGGGUAUCUUCAUUCUGGUAAAGAGGAGACUGAGAGAAGCAAUGAUAGCCAUUUUCCAAUAUCUAAAGGGCUGCCACAUGGAAGAUGGAGCAAGCGUGUUUUUAACAUCAUCAUAAUAAUUUAUUAAAUUUGUUUACCAUUGCAUACCCGCAGGUCUGGAGGGUAGGACCCAAACCAAUGGCUUUGGGUGACAAGAAAGGAGAGUCGGACUCAACAUCAGGAAGAACCUUCUGAUGGUAAGUGCUGUUUGAACAGACUACCUUGCAAUGUGGUUGACUCUCCUUCUGUGGAGGUUUUUAAACAGAGGUCUGAUGGCCUUCUGUCAUAUAGGAUUUAGUUGAGAUUCCUGCAUUGCAGGGUGUUGGAAUAGAUCACCCUUGGGUUCCCUUCUAACUUUGCAAUUCCAUGAUUCUAAGUAACACGAGCAGCCACAGCUUGAUUUGUAGUUACAUGCCUAAGUUUGUCCUCUUCAUUCUCUGAAGAAUCUGCUGCAGCUGAAUGCCAAUGUAAGUUGACAUUCAGAAACUUUGCAAUGUAUAAUAGGGGGUGGGACUGCAUUGGUGCAUGUGCAGUAGAGACCAGAAUUCCUGGACCUUUAUAAAAAUUAUGUUUAAAUUGGAAUCUUAGAAGCAGGAACAUGUCAUGUCAUAGUACUGCAAGUGCACUACAGGAACAGCUAGAUUGGUAAAGAAAAGGCAUUUUAUAUGCGUUGUAUAUGCAAUAUUACACUGUGACACCAGAUGGCGCUGUGGAGUCCAGUCUUUCCCUACUGGAUUUCCCUAUAGGAGUUUACAACGCGUUUAACUGAAACGCUUCUUUGAUGUGUCUAGAUUCUGUACUCUUCCAGGUACAGAAUAUCACUGUCCUGUAUUGCAUCUAAUAGUAUUUCUUAUCUCUGGAGAGACACCUGCACACAAUACACAGACAGACCUUGUCAAACAAGUUACCUUUGGAAACAGAAGCUGUGUUCAGGGGUUAUUCCUAACAGGGCAUUUUCCAAAUCAUGUACGGACACAUACACCCUCCCCCCGCCCCCACUACACACCACCCACUCUGCUUGGAUUUCCCUUGUAUUGAGCAAGAAAGGCAGAAUGCAAGUGCAUUUGGCUGAAGUCACAACCCUUCCCCAGUUGUCAAGACGCUUAUAAGCAGAGUCAACUGCUCCAUUCAGGCCUUCCUGCUCACCACAGGAAAGCAGAGAUGAGGAUGUUGAAGGCUUGGUUUGCAUGCAUGGUCCCACAACCCUCUUCAUGUGUUCACAAUGAAUGCUGUUUCAAAGGUGAAAACCUUUCUUGGAAUAGGAUUGAAGGGUGAUAAAAAAAAUACUUACAAAUAUCUCAUGCACAUAAAAUGAACAAGGCUGUGCAGGUGAGAGGCUCACCCCAACCAAUGCAUGUUCAAGCAUCUGCUCACGUAGUUCAAACUUUGUUCAACGAAUGAGCGUUGGAUAGGGUGGGGCUGGCCACUGUGAUAAAGUCUCUUGCCCUCGAAUUGUCCAUUUUGCUUGCCUAAGAGCAUUUGCAAUGGGCUUUUGAUGAAGAAAAUGAGAAGAGACAUGCAAACUUUUCACACUCUUAAACACAUUCAAGAUUGCAUUGAGAACAUAAAAGUAGCAUAUUCAUCUGUGUAGAGCUGUAAGAGCAGCCUACCAGAUUUUUUUUUUAAAAUUAAAUAGCAUUUGGAUGAGUUGUAAUCCUGGUUGUUUGAGAAUGGCUGUGUUUAAUAAAUCAUGGUCAAUUGUAAACACAUUUCUGGAGUUGCGCCGGCCUCUUUUAUGGUGCCUAGAACCAAGGAGGCUCUCUAGCCAGGAAACAAUUAUCCUCUGCUUUGGCCAGCUGUGUAAAUGAGACCUAGUCCACGUGUUACCUGGAUGGCUAGAGCUGUGUGGUUUUUAGUUCUACAUCAUGUGUAUUAAGACGAAUGGCAUUGUUGAAUUCAAAGCGUGUGAGUCACACAGUGUGUGUGUUUCGCCAAGACAAAAAUAACAAAUGAAGGUCGGUCUAAAAUUCUAUGGCCCACAUACGCCACUAAUUUUGCCUUCUAUGCUGUUGUUUUAAAGCCAUCCAGACCACUUUGUAUUCCUGCUGGAGUCUGUGAUGUGCUUCCCAUGUAAAUGACAGAUAGACAGUCCACAUUAACACCCACUGGCAUGCAGAAUUCAUGAGCCUGGCCUUCAAUAAUUAUGUCAAUCUAUAAAAUAAUAAACUCUUUGUUCUUUCUAUUGGCCUGCUGGGAUUUGAGCCAGGAGGCUCAAUCCUUGAAGCCUAUUCUCCAUAGAGCUGAUGGCUGGAAAAUUAAUUGUCAAAAAAGGGGUGGGAACGGAAACUGCAGUUCUUUAUAUAUGCAUUUAUUUAUGACCAUGGGUGUUUGGGCUUUAUUGAAUAGUGUGAAGCUUUCAGUAACAUAUUACAUGCUACAUUUAAUACGGUUACCUUCAUAUUAUUAUCACUAGUAACUGUAUUGGGUUGUAUUUUGAGUAUGACUACCAUUGGAUACAGCCCAUUGAUUUGGAUCCCAAUAUAAGGAUGUUCACAGAAGAAAAUGUUCCCACCCACUUCUGCCAUCACCAGCAAAUUUCAUUUCAUCUUCAUCCCAUGUUGUUCAGGAGCCGCACUCAAUCCUCCAGAAACUUUUCUUAGUGAAUGCAGAUGAGAAAGGGGGAUGAGAUUUCUUUCCAUUUCCCAAGAGGAGAAAAAUGAUGAAGAUGAUAAAGCAACAUUUAUGCUCUUGGUGCUUUACAAGUACAAGGUUAUAGGCCCCUGCCCUGGGGAAAUCUAAAACCUGUCUCAACCUGCACACAUGGGUUUUCAAACAAUAUAACUUUUACAAAUUUCCUAUGAGGGUGGCACAAGGUUCAGAAAAUGUAUUAAGACCACCAAUGACCCUCACUACAGGCUCAAAUAAUUCAUUCUAGUUAGUAGUCCACUUACCUUCAGGUGGCAACUAGUUUUGCCAGAGUGGCACUUUUAGAAAUGGAGGCUGGCAGGUCAAAGGCCCAGUCUCCUGAACAGACUGCUUCCGUGUCCUGUUCCCACAAAUACUACCCAAAAAACCUUUUGCUGUUGUAGAAUGGUAUCUUCAACUCAGAGAGUUGGAUUUGACUGUGGGUCUUCAGUUGCUUAUCUAGGUAGAUAGAUAGGCAGACUGCAGACUAGUGACUGUCCCUCUCAGACACAUAAUACAAUUGUUGAUUAUUCCUCUACAGGCCCUGUUUCCUUUCCUGAUACUACAUCCUCAGGUGCCCAGUCUUGAUUUCAACAUUUCAGAGGCUCGUGAGAUAUGUUCUCAUGGUUUUUCUUUGUUCCAGUUAGAAUAAGAGAAUUGUAGAUUUGGAAGGACCAUGAGGGUCAUCUAGACCAAACCCCUGCAAGACAGAUAACUUUUGCCCAGUGUGGAGCUCGAACCCACAAACCUGAAAUUAAGAGUCUCAUGAGCUACCGACUGAGCUAUUCAGUUACUAGACCUUCUUUCUUAUCUUUUCUCCACUAUCAGACUGACCCCUUACCCAUGUUUUACUGUUUGGAUCCUUUGCUUGACUGCUUGAGGGAAGGGCAUAACUCAGUGGUAGAGAAAAUGCAUGCUGAAGAUUUUGUUCAAUUCCUUCACAUCUGCAGGAGGCUUCAUUUAUACUAUGUACACCUUUUCCUUCAUCUGUGAAUGACUUGCUCUGCUCUCAUGAGUGGUUGGAUAUAUAUUCCAACCACAAUGUCUCACAAUGUGCCUCUCUUCAACUCUUCUUCAUUAUGCAUAGAAAGGGUUCAUAGAAAGGGUUCUGGUCCAAUUGCUGGACCAGAGCAGCAAGUUUAGCUUGCACCCAGUCAUAUGUUUUGUGAUGUUUCAAUCACAUUUUCCCAAUAUCUACAGUGGUACCUCGGGAUGUGAAUGGGAUCCGUUCUGGAGCCCCAUUCGCAUCCUGAACAGAACAUAAGACGCGACUGCGCAUCUGCGGGUUGCAUUUCUCUGCUUCCGCGCAUGAUGUCAUUUUGACCGUCUGCGCAUGCGUGAGCAUCGAAACCCGGAAGUAACGCACUCCAUUAAUUCUGGGUCGCUGCGGAGCACAACCCGAAAAUACUUAUCCUGAAGCGUAUUUAUCCCGAGGUAUGACUGUACUUUAAAUGCAGGACCUGAAACCCAAAGGGACACAAGUAGCUUAUCUUGGUACUUCUGUAGCAAACGACAUUUCUAAAUAUCCCUUUUGAUGCCUGACAGCUAAAGACGGAAAGAUCAACAUCCAGUGGCAAACCACUUUUUGAAAUAUGUAGAAAACCCUCAUUUCAUUUCAUUUAAAAGGAUCAAAACCACCAAGUGGUUUUCUUUUAACUCUUGUUAACAAUUUUCUCAGGCAAUAGAAAUUGAGAUAGUGGUUGCCUGCUCUCCCCUGAAUAGUCAUAUAGACCAUGGAUUGACAGUCUGUGGCAGCUUCUUACGUCUUUAUAGGUUCUUGAUUGAUGUAACUAAUUUCUAGAAUUAUGCUAUUCUGAAUUUUUUUAAUUAUUUAAUCAGAGUGAUAUCAAGAAAUGCCACAUUUCUUCAGCAUAUUGCCACAGGUAUUUUACAACUUCCUCCUCCAUUUCCAUGUUUUUAGUAAAUAAUUUAUUAUGUACUUUUCAAGGAAGAGGAAGUAACUGUCCUCACCAUCUGAUGACUAAACAGUCAGUAAGUUGGAGUGCUCUGAGACUUAAUAGAUGUUGCAAGAAGACCUCAAGGACAGCACAGCAUCAUCUUAGCGACUCCUGAGCUACCCCAAUGAGGUAGUAAACAGGUUCCCAUACAGCAACCAGUCAUAUCUGAAGAAACGACCAUGUCAAUUUGUAUCCAUCCCUUGUUCAAUACAGUGUUACCUCGGGUUAAGUACUUAAUUCGUUCCGGAGGUCCGUUCUUAACCUGAAACUGUUCUUAUACUGAAACACCACUUUAGCUAAUGGGGCCUCCCGCUGCUGCCGAAGCACGAUUUCUGUUCUCAUCCUGAAGCAAAGUUCUUAACCCGAGGUACUAUUUCUGGGUUAGCGGAGUCUGUAACCUGAAGCGUACAUAACCUGAAGUGUAUGUAACCUGAGGUACCACUGUAUUUCCUUUUUGCUCAUCGCUCAACAUUCAUUUCUGUUCUGUGGCUACCAUUUAUCGCAGUAUCAGUCAGAAAAGCUUGGGAUGAGUGAUGCAUGGGGUUAGCAGUCGCAUACCACAUUUCCAAGAUUGAACUUUGGCGGUAUGUAUGCAUCCCCUCCCCAAACCCUUUUUGUCUUAAUUUGUACUGUUGGAUUUGCAAACAUAUUACAAAUUCUGACCGGCAAUGUCCACCCAUCACCCAAGCCCUAAUUCUCCUUCAGUUUUGUUCACCAGUCCUGUCCCCCCUGCCUGACACCCUUAUUCCUUUGCUCAAUUGUACUCAUAGUUUCCACUGUCUACAUUGAUUCUGCAGUCGCAAACAAAACACCCUUGUACACUUCCAUCUUCUUGAGGGAUGGUGCUUUGUUUUUAAUUUCUGCAUACCUAGAAAGUCCCUCAUGUAUGCAGAAACCACCAUCUUAUUAUUGGGGCAGCUUCCAAACUUGGUAGGCUGGCACAGGAACACCCAAGUUUGGCGAUGCAGAAUCCAAAUGGCAGUUGUUCCGCUCGUUACGCAGAGAGGUUCAGCAAGUCAGCAUGCAGUGGGACAAUGCAAUGCACAAAAAUCCUCCACGCGUUCUUAACAUUUAGGCUUCAUCCUUUAUUAGGUAGUGAAUAAGAGACAUAAAAAUGAUUGUUUGUUGCUUACAGCUGAAGUCUACGAGAGACUCGUCUGUGUGAGUGAGAGAGAGAAAGAUAGGGACAGAGAGAAAGAGAAAUGUUUGCAUACAGCACUGUGAUGACAAGAGAAGCGGAGGACCGGGGUGGGGUGGGGGAGAGAGAUUUAAGCAACUUAAAAGAGCAUGGACCAGCUGAUGAAAAGAGUAGGAAUGACUCUUUUAUUUCUAGCAAAACUUUGAUUAUCUCUGCCAUUUGUACUGUGCCUCCAUACAUGCCACAGGCCAAAAUAUUAAAAGAACAAAUCUAUUCGUUUUGAUAAGAGCAGUAGCAUGACUUCAGUUUUGCAUAUUAUGCCAUAUGUGAAAAAUCCUUUCCAAGGCAGCUCUGCCUUUGGCACAUCCUCAGUACUCUAUGGCUAGGUUCUCAGUGGUUUCCUUCUGUGGCCACAAGCAAAGGCUCUAUGAGCCAAUUAAAAAAAAUCAAAAACCCAUAAAGCUUGGCUUGAAAAACCACUGCCAUGUGUGCACAUGCCGGAGUGCUGAGGAUAUUGUCCUUAUUGCAACUACAUUGUAAAAACAAAAAACAAAAAACCGAGACAUAUUGCUGGAGCACAUCUCACAGUUGUCGUGGAGAUGCCGUCAAAAACAGCUUCCAUAUAGAAGAUAAUCCCUGUACUGGCCACAGUACCUCCCACUUCCAUGUCCCCAGUGACUCAGAAUGCGGUAACUCUUAUCUGUCUGACAAGCACUUCUAAACAGAACAUCCAGGACAGAGGCGAUUUUCCCAUGGAAAGGCUAUUUUCAGUAGCAUCCCAAUAAUAGCUGUAAUAUGUUCAUGCUGUAAGGUGUGGGAGGGGGGGAGAGGAAUAUGUGGCCCUCCUUAAGUCAUUGGACUCCAGUUCUCAUCAGUCCCAGCCAGGGACGAUGGGAUUUGUAAGUCAGCAACUUAUGGAAAGAAACAGGCUGUUUUGGAAUCAGGGCCAGUUACUGGUCUAAUUAGUGUGGUCAGAACGGGUUACUUGUGCUCACUUUUAUGGGGCACUGGACCAAGCUUUCUAUCGUAGUAUUAUUUCCAAAAGUGUUAUGUUGCAAGAUCCCAAUGCUUUAGGAAUAAAUCUGUUCAUCAGCUUACAGGGAACUAAUGGUUAUUCAACAUCCUGAAGUACGGAUUUUGAAAUUCCUCAUAUUAAAGAUGCUGAGCGUUUCACUUAAUGAAAGUGCAUGAAGACCACUAAAUUCCUCGACUGACUUCCUAUAUCUGGUUAAAGAUUAAGACAGUCCAAAAACAAAACAAAAAACAAAAAAGGUGCUUUAUCUUCAAGGCACAAACAUUUGCAAGUAAAAUGGGUGAUUUUUUUCUAAAAUUGUUCAUAAAGAGCUAUCUUUGUAAAUUAACAUGUAAAAGAAAAAUGAAUCUCUUUGGAUUUUGGAGGCACAUAAUGGGCUGGAUCAAGUGCUCCAUGCCGUCAGAUCUAACUUCCUCCUGCAGCCCCCAUGCCCUUUGAACAUCUGCGGUGGGGGGCGGGGGCGGGGGCAGGGUUUCAUUGGCUUUAAUCCCCUUCUGCAAAUAGCAAGUACCUUUCUGAGAAUGGAAGAAGCUCUCCUCUUCACAAAAGGGCACCUUUGGACCCAACCCUUUAUUCUUGGAACAGCACAAACUUCCUCCUUCCUCCUUUUACUUUAUCAUAAUGCAUAUGUAAAGUGUGUGUGUGUGUGUGAUGGACGGACACGUAUACACACAUACACGCCUUAUAAGUGGACAGCUUUUUCUUUAAAAAAACAAACAAACCCACAAAAGUAAAUACAAAUGAAUAACUCUUGGUCAAUAUUCUCUAAGCAUAAAAAUCCUCAAGUGCUAAUAUUUAAAAAACAUGUGAAUGUUUUAGCAAAUCUAUGGCCAAUGUUUUGCAUCACUAGCAUUUUAUGAAUAGCCUUUAAUCUCCUGCUCCCCACUUAAUUCAAAAAAUAUGGUUUACUUUUUUUGUAGCUAAAAUCUACUUGCAGGCACUGCAGCUGCAAAUCAGUAUGGCUGAAUCUGACUGAGCAGAUCAUCUCAUAUUAUUUAUAAUAUCCUUUUCAGCUCUCUGUGGGGGAAAAAAUGUCAGCAGCAAAUAUCAGAGAUUCAAAACAUGUGCAUUCCUUUCC